CAGGGAGACAACAAAAUGUUUAAUAUUAUUAUUUUGUCACCUUAGGUCGAUCGGUACCUCACGUUUUUAAUUUAUUAAGAAUUUCAUUUCCUAAGUUUUUCUAGGUCACACCCAUUAUUUUUCCUGGGCCAUUAGCUCAGGUGGUUAGAGCGCACCCCUGAUAAGGGUGAGGUCCCUGGUUCAAGUCCAGGAUGGCCCAUACCUCUAUGUUGGGGGUAUAGCUCAGUUGGUAGAGCGCCUGCUUUGCAAGCAGGAUGUCAGCGGUUCGAGUCCGCUUACCUCCACUGAUUACCACCUCUUCCAUAAUCUGUAGAAAGGAAAUGUUUUGAGUUGUGAUCAAAUUCUGAACGAAUCUAGCUUCCUAAUGAAAUCAUUAAGAUGCUGGACUCAGUGAAUCAAUUUCAUUGUUUUCAGAGAACCUUGACAACUGCAUAGAUUAUUUUUGAAAAGACAAUAGGCAUCUUUAAUGAUGCAGAUUUAUUAUUUGUGCGAAUGCAUUAAUAACAAUUCUAUUAAGCUGAUGCUUCAUUUUUGAAGUUAUU
rnacentral:tRNA from 1 species